rnacentral:lncRNA from 1 species
UAACAUUUAUAUGAGACGGCUCAAACAAUAAUCUUUGCCCUUUAUAUUUAAACUACAUUAGUUUAACAUGUGAAAUGUCCGUAAAGUAUCAUCAUAUGAUUGGUUUUAGGGCACACUUCCAACAGGCUGCGUGAAGGUUGAUGCGAUGGAUAAACUACUCAGUGCCACUAAGGUUUGGCCCUCUCAGAGAGAUCUCGGAGCUAGCUGGCAAAAGUGUUGGACGCAUGAUGGGCUCUUGCAUACCUACACCUACACACAGCAAACUUGGACAACUUGGCAGAUUUGUAGCAAGCUUUACACCAGACAGAUCCCCAAUCUCCUCGUCCGUGUGUAGAUUGCAACCUAAUAGCAUCUCAAUAAAGGAAUGAACUCCCAUGCUCACCAAAUCAAAAGAACAAGAGGUCCCAACCUAAAGAAGACAAAGAAAGAUGUUAGAAACAAAAGCUAAACCAAUGAAAGCAGAAGAAAAAAAGAAAGAAGAAAAAAAAAAUUGCUUCACUAAAGCGAAAGACAUGCGAGACAAACCUCGUGAAUGUUAAAGGAUGACGAUGACAAAGUCACAAUGACGAAAAGAAAUCAGCCACAAAGCUUGAGCAACACAGCAAAGAGGGCAGCUACAAGAUGGUCCUUCAAAACGCGAUACAGUAGCAAAGAAAAUCAAAAUGCUAUGCAAUCGCACUACAGAACCCUAGCAAUUACGUAAGCAGUUUCUUGCACUGCAUGGCAACGUCACCACUGAGGGAAAACUGUGACCAAAAGGCACUACACGGCAUAACAUCAAUGCAGUCUUUUGUAUGACACCACAUGGUAAAAAGUGACGCACUACAACAAGCUUCAAGUAGCUACAACUCAAGGCAGCAAGCAGAGUCAAUGUGCACGACAAGGUUUGUUGUGCCAAAAACACACGCCUAAUUGUCCUAUAAAUAAGGAUCAAUUGCUUCCUAAUGCUAUAGGGAGAAUACAUACCAAAUAGCAAAAUGAAAAUCAAAAGAAGGAAGUACAUUCCUACCAAAAGAAGGGAGCAAAUUCCAAGCAAAAAAUGGCAAGGUGAUUUCGGCCACAAAGGAAAAAAGCAUGCUGUUUUUGCAAAAAAUCAGCAAAGAAAAGAAAAUGAAACAAAAAAAAAAAUGAGGGAAGGGCUUCAAAAUUUCCAAAACAUCAAAGGGAAGUUCCUUGCCAAAAUACAAAAGUUUAUCCCUCCAAAGCAUGGAGAAGCCUU